ACGAACGCUGGCGGCGUGCUUCACCCAUGCAAGUCGAACGGAAAGGCCCCUUUGGGGGUACUCGAGUGGCGAACGGGUGAGUAACACGUGAGUAACCUGCCCUUGACUUCGGGAUAACUUCAGGAAACUGGGGCUAAUACCGGAUAGGAAUCCUUGCUGCAUGGUGGGGGUUGGAAAGCUUCGGCGGUUUUGGAUGGACUCGCGGCUUAUCAGCUUGUUGGUGGGGUAGUGGCUUACCAAGGCUUUGACGGGUAGCCGGCCUGAGAGGGCGACCGGCCACAUUGGGACUGAGAUACGGCCCAGACUCCUACGGGAGGCAGCAGUGGGGAAUAUUGCACAAUGGGCGGAAGCCUGAUGCAGCAACGCCGCGUGCGGGAUGACGGCCUUCGGGUUGUAAACCGCUUUCAGCAGGGGCGAAGCUUGUGGUGACGGUACCUGCAGAAGAAGCACCGGCUAACUACGUG
rnacentral:rRNA from 1 species